AACUCGGCAAGACAUCGCGUCUCGUGCCUACGUAUCUCAUCUGAACAUGAGAAUCAGAGUUGCCGUAGUUCGGCCAAACAACUCUAAGCAUGGCUCACACAAGGGUUAAGCCACACAGACUUGACUUGCACAGGAAGCAAGUCAAGCACAACCUACCUUGCACAAGGGCAAGUCUAAGCUAAACCUAAAGAGGCAAAGCAAACAGGCAAUCA
rnacentral:lncRNA from 1 species